AUACUACUGAGGAGUCCCACAAUAGGACGAAACGGCUAUCCAGUAC
rnacentral:hammerhead_ribozyme from 1 species